GUUUCUGAAUCUGUGAUAUUUCGCAGAGAGAGAGAGAGCUGGAGACCGAGCUAUGGAGAAGAGAAACACAUAUAGAGAGAGUGUUAGGUCGAGAGAGAGAGGUGAAACGAGAGAGAGUACGAGUUAGUUAUCUUGAGAAGAGAGUCACAGAUGCAGAAGAAUUUGAAGCCCUAUUUCUGCGACAUAUAAGAAAUUAGGCUCUCGAAAUUCGUCCUAGUGAUGCAGCUGUACUAUCCAACAUGAGUUUGUUCUAUGUCUAUUUGAGUAAAGGAGAUGAUGCCUUGGAAGAUGCUGAACGAUGUGUGCUGGCAAAGCCAUACUGGCCAAAGGCUCAUUAUAGGAAAGGAGUAGCACUCAAACUACUGAAUUUGGACAGUAUUACCCAAUUAGUGCACCGCGAAAUGCUAUUUGUUCCCAAUCGCUAUACAUUUUUGGAGGAGGAAUGUUCACGAUGAAAUCAAUUAGAGCGGGUUCUCCUGCAUAUGGUGCUGGAGUAUUUGCAGGUGAUGGCACAAGAGAUCCUAGUGAGACAGAAGUGGCGCUCGCAGAACAUCGAAGACAAUACACAUUUGAUGUGUUCUAGUUUGUCAGAAACAUUUUGUUUGAUUCAUUAGUUGUUCAAAUUGUUGUACAUGGAUUGGGAUACUUAUGCUUCACAAAUUUUUUGAUAAAUAAUAAUGAACAGUGUGUUGUGUUCUUUGA